UACGUAGGUGACAAGCGUUGUCCGGAUUUACUGGGCGUAAAGAGCGCGCAGGCGGUCGAUCAAGUCGAUUGUGAAAGCCCCCGGCUCAACUGGGGAGGGUCAUUCGAUACUGAUCGACUCGAAGGCAGGAGAGGGUAGUGGAAUUCCCGGUGUAGUGGUGAAAUGCGUAGAUAUCGGGAGGAACGCCAGUGGCGAAGGCGACUACCUGGCCUGUUCUUGACGCUGAGGCGCGAAAGCUAGGGGAGCAAACGGG
rnacentral:rRNA from 1 species